GCAGCUGGUCAUCUUUGGGCGGGUGAACCUUUUCUCACGCGCCGCGCGUCCCGUGGCUAGGGCGAGGAGCCCAUUGGACAUAACGGCACCAAACCCUAGCCCCCCGUCCACAGCCACCCGCUCCUUCUCACAGCCGCCGCACCAUUCCUCCCUUCCGCCCCCUCCUCCUUCCCGGAUCCCCACCACGGCGCCGACCUGCAGGCAAAGGGCGACAGCGGCGGCGCUCUGUUAGAUCUGUAGGAGAGAGAAUAUGAGAGGGAGAGAGAGGAGGGAGAAAGAGAGGAAGAGGAGAGGAGGCACGUCGUCGGAUGGGAGAGUGGCCAACCCGGCUCGCGUCGGCUGGGGCCGCACCCCUCCCCGAAGGGCGGCGAUGAUGGAGGGAUCCACCAGCGCCAUCCAGGCUCCCGACCGACGGACUCGCUGGUUCGCCGCCCCUCCCGUGCGGCGGGGACAUCCAUGGCGGCGUGGGCUGGGGACCGAGCGGCGGGGCCCGUGAUGCGUUCCGGUCGAGGGAUUUGUCGGGCUGGCGCGGGAUCUUAGCCGCUGUCGAUGGAUUUCUCGCAGCUUGGCUACCUGUUGCUCUGGAUCCGGCGAGCUCUUGUUGCCUGAUCACUGGCCAAUCGUCAGGUUGGCGGCCACGUUAGUUCCGCACCGCUGCCAGCGACCGCCGUUCUGUUGCCUUGGAUUCGGGUGUGGCGUUGGCUGGUAACCGUAUGGUGUUCGUCUGACGUGCCGUCCGCAUCGUGGGGGUUUGGUCGGUUGACUCCAGUUUUUUCAUGUGCAGGUUCAGCAGCGGGCAAUGCUCAAGACAGAGUUGGGCGCACAUCAUAUAUAUACAUAUGUUGUCGUGUCGUAAUAAAUGGAGAUGAGCAGAAGUAGAGAUGAGAUAUCUAUCCGACUGUCAUCCUUCCAAGACUUGGGUUUGUCAUCUCUGUCAGCGUCCGCCUCCGCUUCCUUCGUUGGUUGUCGUUUCUUUGUACACUGCUGUAGUUUAGAGAUCAUAAUACAUUUUCCAUGGAUACAAUUGAAUACGCCACCCAAUUUGCUAUAUAAUUGUUCAGCUCUCUCUCAUAGCGAUUCAUACAAAAUAUCAUGCAUAGUGGUCCCAGCUUAAGUAGAAUAUAACCAUUGGAUUGUUCAAACUUUGCUUGUGUUUCACAGGGCACCAUAACUCUAAUCCGACAUGAGCAGUGCAACCACGACAAUGAGCAGUGGAACCGCAAGAUAGAGAUAGAUACAAGUAGAAUAUAACUGGUCAUAUUUCUAAAAUGAUCACACUACUUAUGGUGUCGGAAGAGAAGGCAUCAGUGAUAGUGGGCUUGGUGAUGAAGGCAUCAAUACGAAGAGAUUAAUUCACAACUUUGUUCUUGAUAGGUUGUACAAAUAUACAAGGUACUACUGUUUCCUUUUAUGUUUAAAUAGCUUUGUGAGUACAAUCAAAUGAAAAUUCUGCGAUUCAUGGUGCGGAAGCGGGCAUCUUUGUUUUCCUGACCAAAAAUACUUAGUUUCAUGCCUCCAUGGUAUAGUUUGAGGCACAAUCCAAUGAGAGAUUCCUACUUAGCUAGCUAAUAUAUAACGUUUGACGGUACUGUCUUGUGUUGUAAAUAUAAAAUAUGCUACAUGAGCAUUACUUUUAUUUUGAAUUUAAUUUUGUGUUUGAGCCUCUUUUACAUAUUAAGUGUAAUAUCACAGACUUUCUUCUUUCAGGGUUAACUGGCCAUGCAAAAACUGUUGUGAGGCAUUAAAUGGUACUCCCUCUGUAAACUAAUAUAAGAGCGUUUAGAUCACUAUUUUAGUAUUCUAAACACUCUUAUAUUAGUUUACGGAGGGAGUACUAUAUGUUUUUGGCUUGCUUUUGUUCACUUUUGUCCUUUACAAAGUGGAAUAAGAAAAGAAAGUCAAAACAGGCUCAACCAUGACUACUCUGCUCUUGUGAUCACCAAUUUCUGCUCCAUUGCGCACAAGAAAGUAGUGACUAUUUAUUUGCUUAAACAAUAUGUCCAGCGCUACCUGUCCUACUAAUAUUCCUUUAUGGAUGUAUCACACAAAUUUCAGUUAUUGGAUAUUAAAUGUAGGUUCUCUACUCAGAGCUUGGUCCAAUGGUCAAUGCAGCUCUAUGUUGUGCUAUCUUGCUAUUGGGCUCUUUUUUCGUUACUUAAAAUGGUCAGAUAUCUCUGAUGUUAAAUUCGUCGUUGAUUGCUUAUAUCCAAAAUAACUAUGUUAGUACACUGAAGCCAAUUUCUACAUUGUUAGUGAAGUUGGCUAAAUUUAGUCCAACAUUUCCAGUAUGUAUCUUCUUCUGCUAUCAAUGUUAAUUCUGCCAUAAGCAUAUUACUCUCCAUGCAUUUUUUUCUUUUGAUGAAAAACACAGACACUUGUUCAGUUUUUUACUACAUAGAAAAAGAUAAGUUCAAUUUGGUUUCUAAUGUUCAUGUCGGCCUUUGCCUAAGCAAAAAAGGUAACCACUUUAUAUUGUAAUCUGGUUUUUAGUUUCUCUUUGAUUCAACCAUUUUUUUGUGUGCUGUCUAACUGUUAGAUUGUCUGGAACAUCUCGGAACAACCUUUCGUGUCCCUGAUAUUAUCUCGUUUCCUGAACAAUAUUAUUUUAUUUGCUUUAUCUGCGACCAUGAAUUCCUAGAGUUCCUUUCUCUCCUUCCAAUUGACAUUCUUAGAUGUGAUUCUAUUAGAAAUUUUGUGCCAUGACAGAAGUAAUGGUUGAUUGCUCUGGUUUAGCCUUUAUGUCAGUUGUUGCUGAGGGUCUAGUUUCUCAUUUUUCAGAAUUUGUAGUAGCAGGGAUGUGUAUAAUAUGGAUAACUGAACUGGUGUUUAGGGGUUUCAGUGCAAGACUGCUACUUGCUCGAUUAGUUAGAUCAACUGGUGUUUGGAGAUUUCAGUGCGAGUGAUGUUCCAGUUUCGAUUGCAGGGCUUCGAGAUGCACCAUGAGGAUUGAAACAAGUCUUAUAUAGGGCUGCUAAAUUAUUAUGCUUUUGGUCUUUUCUGAAUUUAGUUAGCAUAAAUACUUCCAGAAUACCUCUUAUAAUAUGGAAGUCUGUUGGUAACAACACUGAUUUUGCCAGUUUGUGGAACAUGCUUCAUUUUUGCAGGUAAAAGAAGGAAGAGAACAUUGGAGAAAAAGGCAGCAGGACGGAUUCUCUAAGCUUUCUCAAAUGUUUGAACAAUUAGAAGAUAGUUACAAUCAUUUUUCUCUUGCCUUAUUACAUCUUGAUGUUAAUAGGCUUUGGAAGGUACUAUGCGCCCGUUCAAAGUUUACAGAAUUUGCACCAUCCUAUUACAGUUUGUUCUGAUGACAUAAUUGACCAGUUCUUCCUGGAGUAAAUUAAUAUUGUGGCUGCUACUCCUUUGUGCAUUGUUACAUAGAGUUAUAUAAUUGUGAAGGUGUGUACACAUCAACAUAUAAUUCCCACGAUCCUAUUACAGUUUGUUCUGACGACAAUAUUGAGCAGCUCUUACUUGAGUAAAUUGUGCAGCUCUUCC